rnacentral:lncRNA from 10 species
UUUAAUGGCAGCAGUAACUGAACAAAUAGAAAAUCUGAAAGUUCCCAAAACUAAUCCAACAAAAAAUAGGUUUAAGAUAUGAAUGGAUAUUUCUUAACAAAAGGAUCCCAUAGUCAACACAACCACCACUGGUAAGCUUUAAUUUGAAGAUUCACUAUAAGUUCUCUUCAAGAAAAACCCAUUUGACUAUUUGAGCUAAGUGUUUGACAUUCCAUUUCUUCCAUCAUGAGAAAGCUCUUAAUUUGCUCCUCUGUGGGUGUCUCCUACUUCAUGACAAAUCCAAGUCCCUGGGGUUUACUUGGUCCCAGGACUGACACAGGUCAAUCCUAGUUGCAAAUUGCCAUGCAGAGUAGAACCUGAAAACCUUCCCAGUCCACUGGGGGCCAUGCUGUACUGUAUUGCUGAAGUCAAUGGCACAUGCUAAAAAGCAGAUGCUCUUUCAUUGUCUUUAGAAGACGUUCUUGACUUCCACUGUGGUGAUCUAAACAUGCCACCACUACUGGCCAAGCAAUUACUUACACAGGCAGUGCGGGGAAAGGAACAGUAGGUCUUAUCUCAUUGUCUACUCUGCCAUGGUCACCCCAUACCUAUGCACACAUGGACUCCAUAUUGGUCAAUGUUGUUGCAGGAAGUCAUGCCCAAGGGGUUUAACUGAAAAAAGCUUAGAAAAGGAACAAUUUCAGAGGAGAGGUCAGUGUUGAAGGGGCUAAGUGGGGUUAGUGAAGCUUGCAGGCACCAGCAACCACAAGAAGCCUUUGCCAGCCCAGGCCAGAGAAGCAUGUGAGAGCCAUGGAAGCCGUGUACCCAGCAAAGAAGCCAUGUACCCAACAUAGGAAUACAGCCACUGCCAGAUCCAUGUGGAGGUAGGGAGGAAGCAAUGGAAUAAACACUCUAACCUCUCUAUCUUCCCACUCUCCAUCAUCUGCUGGUAGCCCCCAUUGGUCAACUUUAAUGAGAUGUCAGGAGGCUAGAGAUCUUGAUGUUAUAGAUCCUGGAGAUCAGCUUGCCUGGGAACACUAAAGGGCAGAGAAUGGAUUUGGGGGACACUGGAGCACAAUCAGCAUAAGCUCCUAAUGCUGCAGCCUUUGAUAACAUGGAUUCAUUCUCUUUCCUCCUCCCAAUGCACCAGAAUGCUGGAAGGAGAAUGUUUGACUCAGUUAUGAAGUGUAUCCCAAGUGAGAUUUCUUCUCUGAUAAAUUAGGUCUUGAUGUUGAGCCCAGAUCCCCCAUUUGAGUAUUUCCUUGUCCUUUCAAAGGCUGUACUUGGUGGCUUUUGUGCAGGUCUCAGUCAAUGUCACCUCAAUCAAGAAGAUGGUUCAUGACAUUGAAUCUUAAGCAGGAAGGUAUCAAGGUGCUAGUUCUCCACAAGGCCCCUUGGUCCUGCUACAAAUUUGACUACUGCCACCUUUGCAAAGUUCAGUUUCCUUUAAGCAAUAUUUACGUGAGAAACAGAACGUUUUUCCUGUUGGCAAAAGUGAUAUUUAAGACAUUAUUUAACUGGCGUGGCAUAGAGAAAGUUCCUGAGAGCUUGUUCCCUCAGUUAUUUAUCCUGUAGUUGCUAGAUCCUGGGGAGGCUGGAGGGCCCAGGGUAGAGUCUGGGUUGACUUGGUCAAGGAAUAAACAUUUAAAGAGCUUCUUAACAAUGAUACAAAUGUAUUUCAAUUUUUCAUGAACCUAUAUAAUGUGUACAGGUGCAUUGCAACUGAGUAACAACCCUGCUUAUUAAAUAUGGCACAGUCCUCUGCUAAUGGGGUGUUGGAGAAAGGGCACCCUCAGUCAUUUCUGGUGGCAAUGUGAAUUCUCAGAGCCUCUUAGA